CAGUGAACCUGCUGAAGAAGAUGACAGGGAGGCCAGACGCAGACGCCGUCGAGAGGAACGGCAGAAGCAGGAAGCUGAAGCAGCUGCCGAAGAGGAGGAACGAGAGGCUAGGCGCAGGCGCAGGCGUAACCGUACAGGGGAGGAAGACUGAAGGGAGACUCCAGAUUCACCAUACGAAUCAAUCCAGUAGUAUGACUGAUCUGCUAUAUGCACAUCAUUGACAGAAGGACCUGUUUGUCCUAUCCUCCGUCUUAACGUUUGAAAUCACGAUGCCCUCAACUUUCAGUUUUAUCUUCUCAGGAGAUCAGACUACUCUUUCUUUUCAUCACUUCUGCAUCUCCACCGUUUUUUGAUGCGUUAUGGUUUUGUUAAAAGCAAAACUAAUAAUAAUAACACUUCUUUAAAUGCAAUAAAUCGUGCAUCUUUUGUGCAUUAUCCUGUAACUAACUGCAAUAUCUAUGGGGUGGAUGCAUUUGCUAGCAUCAGACUUCAGUGCAAUUUUAUAUCCACCUUCAGCAACAUAAGACAAAAAGUUAGGUUUCCUGUAACUGUUAUUAAAUAAUUAUUUAUUAUAAAGAAUGAAACAUGCAUUUGUGUUAACAAUGAUGAUUAAUAAAUUCAAAAUGAUAAUGUCAAAUGAUUUUCAGCUUUUGGAGUAACAUUAAUGAGUAAAAAAAAUGUUCACAUGUAUUUACUGUAUGCUGUAUGAGCAGAGAACAAAUGUUUCCUUCAACACAGUGAGUUAGACGACCAAUGCCAUUGUUAAACUUAUUAUUUUUGUAACAGAUGCUUGCCAAAUGAUCUUAGUAUGCUGUGUGCAAUACUUGUACAUGUCUUGCACAGAUUCAUUUGAAUAUGAUUGCCCUUUUUUUUCUCAUUAACCUGUUCUGCAGUUGCAUGCAAUAUAAGUAGCUGCUCAUUAUUGUGCAUACUCUUUGUGGAAACUGUCAACUUAUGUUUCCUUAAUUUUAUGCCGCUCAUAAAAGAAAAACUGUAAUGGGUGCUUAUGAAGUGAUGCUCAGUGGAUGUUUUUCAUCUGUCUCAAAGCAUAUUUACCAAAAGAGAUGGAACUUAAAAGUCUAUUUUGUAACUGAGAUCAUUAACCUUGCCGUACAUUAUCUUUAGUAUGUUUUAAUGUUUAUAAAGUAAUUGACUUUAGUUUUCUGUUUCAUUGUUAGUGUUCUUUUCCAGGUCAAAGAUUGGUUCAAAAAAGAAACCAAACAAACAAGCAAGCACUUGGUUAAAAGAGUAUAUAUAUAUAUUUGCCUGACUUCUACCACUUUACUCCUAUUGUUACUUUAAACUCCUGGAAAUUCUUUGCAUUAUUCAGGAUUCAGCUGAACUGGAAUCUGCUACAUUUUCUUGUAAUUCUAUGAUGUCCUAAUGGCUCAGAAAUUGGCAGAGUUAAGAAAAGAUGUAAUUAAAAAGCUGCCCGAGUGAAGCCAUUACACCUUACUGUUAGUACAGACUAUUUGAACUCUCCAGGGGUCGGAUGUUGCAUUGUCGUUCUCCAACAUACUUAUGUUUGGGGAUUACUUAACUACAAAAGUUCAAAACAUGUUAAUGGUACCUUAUAUGCCAUGUGGUUUGGUCUAAAAGCACUAAUCAAAAUGCACAUGAGUGUAUACAUGCAUGUGUGAGUGUGUGCAUGUAUACUGUGUACAUCGAAAUGUGUAUAGGGUGUUCCUUCCCGAACACCAGAAGUCAUGGCAACGCAAUUAGUUGGGCAUUUUUGUUCUCAGGCACAUGUUGAAGGUAGCAUUGUGUAUGAAAUUCAAUUUUGCUCGAAAUCUAUCUACAAAUUUUAAUAUAAAUUUCAGUUAUCUUCUAAACAGCUUAGAAGAUACAUUUAGCUGCAUAUGGUUAUUUUGCUGGCAACAUGACUUUUUUAAUGAUCAUGGCAACCGUAAGAAUUUGUCCCUAACCAGAUGCUUAUCACCAAAAUUCUUGUUCAGCUUCGUCAUAUUUUCAAAUACUACUACUAAAAUAUGCAAAGUCUGCCUUUUUAAGGAGCACACUUUUCUUUAGUUUUCGUCUUUUUUUUUUUAAACAGAUUUCUGUGAGCACACUUGAAAUAAGCAAAGGUACUUUAGACUUAUUUUGUGCUGGUUCGAACAAUCUGGACAUCUUUUGACUUUGGUGAUGACUAUUUAAAAUUAACCUAGUGAUUUGAAUCCAUUUUUGUAUACUAGUCUUUCACUAUAUACAUGUUAUCGUGUUGGAAGAUUGAUCCUUUUGAUAGUAAAAAUUUACCGCAAAUCA